UACGAAGGGAGCUAGCGUUGUUCGGAAUCACUGGGCGUAAAGCGCACGUAGUCGGCUUUGCAAGUCGGGUGUGAAAUCCCCGGGCUCAACCUGGGAACUGCAUCCGAGACUGCAUUGCUAGAGUAUGGGAGAGGGAAGCGGAAUUUCUGGUGUAGCAGUGAAAUGCGUAGAUAUCAGAAGGAACAUCAGUGGCGAAGGCGGCUUCCUGGACCAAUACUGACGAUCAGGUGCGAAAGCGUGGGGAGCAAACAGG
rnacentral:rRNA from 1 species